rnacentral:lncRNA from 1 species
CCAAGGUAAAGCCUUUUAAGGUGCCCCUUUCUAUGUGCAUGACACAUUACUAUUGAAGAUCCUUGAUCUAGUACGGUCUGGCUUGGUCCCUUCACAAAAUUUUUACUCACAUAACGAAUCCUAUAAACAUAAGCCAAAAUAUUGUAAGUUCAAAAGAACUUAGUGAAAUUCUUUACUACAUUACUUAAAAAUAGACCCCAUCUUGCAAGGGUAGUAAAUGAAAAGAAACUAAACACGUUUAAAUCUUUAAUUGUGUUAGGACGAUUUCUCUUAAUCUGGAAUGGCGGUCUCCGAUUAAUUUUCUAGGUUUAUCUAAUGGUAGAUAGGUUGUUAAACGAUCUUCCCCUAGUUGAUCCUAUAGCCAUUCGACUAGUUUUGGUGGUUUCUCAGAUGAUUCGCUAUAAUUACGAACUCUGUCCUUUCUUCACAUACAUUCUUCCUUUCAUCUAUCCCAUGUUUAGGAUAUCCAUCUACUCAUAACUUUUAUGUUUAAUCCUUAAUUACAAGGUUUGAUGGUCGGCAACCAGUAUGGAUUCUAUCUUCCACUGUGUACUUAUAAAGUAGUCGUCCUGAACUUCCAUCUUAAGGACAAUUGGUUAUUUCUUUCUUGGCGAACAUUCCAAAUCUGAUUUGUCCUUGGAAAACUCCUUUUUCUUACUAUAGUCCCGAAAGAAUUGUUGACAUCUCAUCAGUUAGGUUAACUAAUGAGGACUCAUGCCACUAUAGCGGACUAAAUCUUAUUUUACCCUACACUUGGGUUGAAAAGUUGUUUGGAUUACUUCCUCGUAAUAGCCAUAUUUGCAAUACCUUACUUUUAAGGUGUAACACAUCCGCCUAAGCUACUAUUUGAGUUUACGGUUUCUCUUAUAUGAUAGUUCCUUAGGAACUAACUCUAUGGCAGGUAUAUUCACAAUAGAUUCUCCUCAAAGAGGAAUAGUCUUAACAAACAUAACUAUCACUUGGAUAAUCCGUAUAAGUACCCCUUUCUGGGGGUUCUUAAUGGCGAAUCCUUGUUUGCAAUCUCCGGAUAAAUCCUCUUUCGUUAGAUGAAACAAAGUAUAUUUUUUUCCCGAAAUUCUUGAGUUUUGAAAAUAUUAUUAAACUUUUUUUCCAUUUUUUCAAAUUUCAAUCCAAACAAUUAAUUUUUUCUUUCUAAUUUUAAUGUGAUGGUUAUUUUAUUUAGGGUGAGCAAAACUCGAUUCAACUCGAUUUUUUUUUCAAAUUUUGAGUUAAACAAAUUGACUUAUUCGAGUCAACUCAAUUUUUUUUUCGAAUUUCGAGUUCAAAUCAAGUUGAAUUUUUGAACUCAAAUAAUUCAAAUAAACAAAUACCAAACUAUAAUAUUUUACAUUUUUAUCUCAAAUCCCUAAACCUUUUUAGUUUACUCCAAAACUUUUACUCCUCUCCCAUCUCACCUCCCGUCUAUCUAAACCAUUUUUCUCUCAAAUUUUUUUGAAUAUUUUCCCCCCAAAGUUUUACUCCUCUAUUUACUUUCCCCCCAAAAUUUUACUCCCCAAAUUCCCAAAACUUUUUAUUUUCCUCUAAAUUUUUACUUCUCACCUUUUACCCCCAAAUUAAAAAUCAAAGUCAUCCAAAAAAUCCCUAAACCUAAUAAUAAUUUUAUUUAUAUCUACAAUAUAUAUUAUUAAAUUAAAUUUCACAUUUUAUACUAUUUACAUUAUUGAAUUAUUUGAUCAUAUUGAAUCUUUAUAAAUUUCUAAAAAUUAAAUUAUUAAUGAUAUAAUAAAAUAUUCGUGUUAAAAUUUUAUGUUAUAUCAAUUUCACAUUUUAUAUUUAAGAUAGCUUUUAUUAAAAAUUCAUAUUUUUUAUAUUUAAUAUGUUUUUUAAUUUUAAAAUACUUAGUGACAAGAAAAAUAGUUAAAACAACUAAACAACUAAAGAAGUAAACUUGUAUAUAAAAUAUUAAUAAAUAAAUUAUGAGAUUAAAAGUUAAUAAUAAAUUUAAUUAUAGUUGGUGAUAAUGGUUACAAAGAAUUAAAUAUUUUUUUUUAAUUUAACUAGAAAUUUCAAAUUAAGUUAAAAGAUAUAAUUCAUCACCCUAAUUUUUAAUUUCAUCACCCACCCCUGAAACACAAAACAAUUGGCUCAUAAACGUUCACUAAAGAUUGAAAAUACCUGCCUUUCAAAUUCAAUCCAUACCAAAGAAAAUAUCCAUGGAAGAGCAGCCAAGUGAACUCACCGCAACUGUAACCUCACUUCCUUAGCCAAGAAUGAAGGAUUUUGUU